rnacentral:rRNA from 1 species
GUCGUCAGCUCGUGUCGUGAGAUGUUGGGUUAAGUCCCGCAACGAGCGCAACCCUGCUUUAGUUGCCAUCAUUCAGUUGGGCACUCUAGCGAGACUGCCGGUAAUAAACCGGAGGAAGGUGGGGAUGACGUCAAAUCAUCAUGCCCCUUAUGACCUGGGCUACACACGUGCUACAAUGGUUGGUACAACGAGUUGCGAGUCGGUGACGGCGAGCUAAUCUCUUAAAGCCAAUCUCAGUUCGGAUUGUAGGCUGCAACUCGCCUACAUGAAGUCGGAAUCGCUAGUAAUCGCGGAUCAGCACGCCGCGGUGAAUACGUUCCCGGGCCUU